rnacentral:rRNA from 1 species
GUGGGGAAUAUUGGACAAUGGGCGAAAGCCUGAUCCAGCAAUGCUGCGUGCAGGAAGAAGGCCUUCGGGUUGUAAACUGCUUUUGUACGGAACGAAACGGUCCGGGUUAGUACCCUGGGCUAAUGACGGUACCGUAAGAAUAAGCACCGGCUAACUACGUGCCAGCAGCCGCGGUAAUACGUAGGGUGCAAGCGUUAAUCGGAAUUACUGGGCGUAAAGCGUGCGCAGGCGGUGUUGUAAGACAGGCGUGAAAUCCCCGGGCUCAACCUGGGAAUUGCGCUUGUGACUGCAAGGCUGGAGUGCGGCAGAGGGGGAUGGAAUUCCGCGUGUAGCAGUGAAAUGCGUAGAUAUGCGGAGGAACACCGAUGGCGAAGGCAAUCCCCUGGGCCUGCACUGACGCUCAUGCACGAAAGCGUGGGGAGCAAACAGGAUUAGAAACCCGGGUAGUCC